GUGGGCUAGACGGCCGCGCGCGGGGUUCCUUGGAGCGCUCGCGUGAGGAAAGUCCGGGCUCCAUAGGGCAGGAUGCCGGCUAACGGCCGGGCGGAGUGAUCCGACGGAAAGCGCCGCAGAAAAGAAGACUCCCACCUGCGCGCGAGCGUAAAGGGAAAAGCUGAAACGGUGGUGUAAGAGACCACCAGCGUCCUGGCAACAGGGCGGCUUGGCAAGCCCCAUCCGGAGCAAGCGCAAAUAGGGGUGCGAUGGGUCGGCCCGGCCCGCACCCGGGUAGCGUGCGUGGAACUGCGCGGUGACGCGUAGGCAAGAUAAAUGGUCGUCCCCGACAGAACCCGGCUUACAGGCCCGCUU
rnacentral:RNase_P_RNA from 1 species